rnacentral:rRNA from 1 species
GUUUCAGCCGCCGCGGUAAUACGUAGGGGGCAAGCGUUGUCCGGAAUUAUUGGGCGUAAAGCGCGCGUAGGCGGUUAGAUAAGUUGGAUGUGAAAGGCUACGGCUCAACCGUAGAGCGGCAUCCAAAACUGUUUAACUUGAGUGCAGGAGAGGAGAGUGGAAUUCCCGGUGUAGCGGUGGAAUGCGUAGAGAUCGGGAGGAACACCAGUGGCGAAGGCGACUCUCUGGGCUGUAACUGACGCUGAGGUGCGAAAGCGUGGGGAGCGAACAGGAUUAGAUACCCCAGUAGUCC